AAGGCAGGAAGGUUAUAAAAGAAGUGGAUUCCCCAAGAUGAGUGUCUGCCAGCCUCAGUGCCGACCCGCUGUGUGCAGCACCCACCUGAGCCCUCUGCAUCACCCCCGGGGAACUUGCAGGUCAAGAGGAACUGACACUAGCAUGGUCCGAGGGCCUCCUCGCUUCCGUGACCUCUUGUCGACAGCUCAGGCUGCUUCUCCUCCUUUGAGUUUAUCUUGCUCGCUGUGUUGAUUCUUCUGGUUUUGUGGCCUACUUUUCUUGGAUGAUUCCAACAGUCUCCAUGACAAACCACCGUCUUGAAACAGAAAUGCACAGGUUUCUUCAGUGCUUCAUCUCCUCGUCUGGCGCGGCCCGUGCACAUUUCCACCGGAUGUUUCACCAUAAAUGAGCCUGUGCAAACGCAAACCAUCGACGGAGAGCGUGAACUAAACGGAGCAGCGGCACCUUCUUCCUCUCAGAAUGCAGUUCCCGCUGAUCACCGUACAAACCCUGCACGUGGCUUUCUCACUGCCCCUUGAACCCACGUGGACAGUCUAGAUCCUGCGUUGGGCUCGUGCGGUUUACUUGCUGUAAAGGCCCCCUGCUCACUUGUUUGUUUACGCACCAUCUAAUCUAUUCCGAAGGACCAAUUCGAGAUUCAGCUUUUUUUAAAUGUAUUUUUAUGGUUCCUAUUAUUCAAAUCCUAACAAAAAAUAAUUUGAUUAACAGUGUCUGCAAAAAUAUGUUUUAUAUUAUUUUUGUUUUCUUCAAAAGUAUAGCCCAUAUUUCGAAUUAGAUGGCAAGUCUUUUAUAAGCUUGUGUCCUGGCCUCUAGAAGAGAUCCUUGCACACCAAUGGGACCAGAUGAUUUUUAAAAAUAGGUCUUUCCGCAUGUGCUUAAAAAUAAAUCAGGUUUAUUUUUAAUUUAUAAUGCGAUUUAUACAACGAAAUUGUACAAAUUCCUGCAAGAUGAUGGUCAAAAAUUUCUUGAGACAAAACUUUCUGCUGUUUUCUUUCUCCAUAUAAGAAAAAAUUUAACUUAUGAUAAAUGUCAAAACAUUUAAAUGGGCAAGAACCUAAUUAUAUGAUUAUUUAUAGUAUUAACUUUCAC
rnacentral:lncRNA from 1 species